AAUACAUGAGAGGAAAAAACCCUAAAACCAAGAGAUUGUUUUCUUGUCUUUUUGUUCUUCAUUGUUCCUUGAUAUGUUCUGAUUGUUUUUUUUUGUUAUUUUUUUCUGUUUUUGUUUCUGAUCGAUCAUGUGUUCGGAUUAUUCAAUAUAGAGACGAGAUGAAUAGACAAAUCCAUGUAUUGGUAAACCCUAACGACUACCGGUUUCUGAUUUUUACUUUUCCUUGAUUUUCACUAAAAAGAAACAGUUUACCCUAAAACACUCGUCACCUUUUCAUAUUCGCCUUUUUUCUUAAGAAAAAAAAUUAAACCUAGAAAAUCACAUGUUGCCUCCGUUCUCACUGUUCGUCCUCCUUUUCUUUCUGAUGAGUUCACUGUUCUUCCUCCCUUCUUCCUAAUGCGAGAGCAGAUGGUUUUAUUAUUCAGCAAUCAAAAAUCUGCGAGGAUUUUGGAUAUAUACAUUGUACUGCGAGUAUUUCUCAUUGAGGCAGCACUCUGAACAUGCGAAAGACACCUCUGUAAUUUGUUAUUCAACUGAGUUUAGCGCUCCUGUAUGUGGAUGACAAAUAUAUCUGGCAUCUUUGGGUUCGGAAGCAUGUAUCUGAGUACCUCCUCAAAUCAAAUUCAAACUUGGUUUCGUAAUUUCAUUACCUCUAACGGGAGUUACUGCAACGAUCAUUCCAAUCCUGCGUGAUGUGGAGUUUUUAAUGAGCUUUCAGUGUCAGUUCCUGACUAAAGGAUUAACUAACUAUCUUUGUUUUGGAGGGAACCGUUAAGCGUGGUUGUUCUAUCAGUGGGGAACAAUAAGUGUGUGUUAAAAGAAUGGGAACCAUGCCAGUCACUAUUGGCUGUUGAUUGAUCAGGAGGAGAAGCUGUUGUUAUCACCGUAGUCAGGAUUGUGUUUCCACACACGGAAACAGAAAAUGAAUGAUGAGCAGUGAUGGUUGACUGAGCUAUGGUCGGAGAUCAUCAUAACGAUGAUGCAGCGGUGGAGCUGGGGUAAUUACCAGCUGAAGAGUUCAAACCUGUUGUCACUGUGAUAUUGUAGUUUCUUAUUGUCUCUUCCAGCAGGUAAAUUAACCCACCAUUCAAGAGUGGUCCUAUAUGAUAGAGACAUGCUAUACUUGGAGCAGAGGGUGUAAUGCAGCCAAACCUUGGCCAGGAUGGUUGUAUGGUAAUCAAGGCAAGUGUUAUGUAAUUAGUAAUAAAUAUUUUUUGUAAAUUGUUCUACAUAAGGUAUUAUGAUCAGUAUAUGUUUCUCAGAGAUCUCUUUCAAAUUCAAAUAGUAACUAAAACAUGUAUAGUACUGUUAAAGCCUUCUAACAGUUUUAUGA